UGAUGCAGAAUAUUGUUCUGCAUUUUGACUUGUAAUUACGUUGUUGAAUUGCAUCUGUAAUCCAGACUGUAAUGCCAUGUUACUCUGUGUGUGGAUACCAUCUCGCUGAGCAAAGGAGAAAAAUCUACCAACUCACUUUUGGAGACGGAAACUAUUUGCAGCUGCCCAGCUCAGAAGAAAUAGAAGAUCUCAACUUUGCUCUCAGAAUUGGAUUCACUUCACAUACCCAGACAUUACAUGCCUGAAUGAACUCCUGAGCCGCAAAAUACUGUUUUGUGAAGGUUUUCCCUUACUCAGCUUGUCAAGAUAUGAAGUAAAUGUUUGCAUGGAUCUAUAUAAAAGGCUUAUCUGUAAAUUGAAAAUAAACCCAGUAUGAUAAAAUAUA